GAAUAUGAGGUUGAUGUGGCUGUGACAUCUGUCAAACAUUGUUCAUCCCCAAUGUUAAUUUGGCUGACCUGGCAGCCUAGCUUGGUGCUCCCUUCCUUUAUCACCUCUCCCAGUGAUUUACUCCCAAUGUUUUACACUCAGUUGAAGCUAGUGGGGGAAUGUUCUUCAUUCAGGCUUU
rnacentral:snRNA from 1 species